rnacentral:rRNA from 1 species
GGUGAAAAGCACCCCGGAAGGGGAGUGAAAUAGAACCUGAAACCGUGUGCUUACAAGUAGUCAGAGCCCGUUAAUGGGUGAUGGCGUGCCUUUUGUAGAAUGAACCGGCGAGUUACGAUUUGAUGCAAGGUUAAGCAGUAAAUGUGGAGCCGUAGCGAAAGCGAGUCUGAAUAGGGCGUUUAGUAUUUGGUCGUAGACCCGAAACCAGGUGAUCUACCCUUGGUCAGGUUGAAGUUCAGGUAACACUGAAUGGAGGACCGAACCGACUUACGUUGAAAAGUGAGCGGAUGAACUGAGGGUAGCGGAGAAAUUCCAAUCGAACCUGGAGAUAGCUGGUUCUCUCCGAAAUAGCUUUAGGGCUAGCCUCAAGUGAUGAUUAUUGGAGGUAGAGCACUGUUUGGACGAGGGGCCCCUCUCGGGUUACCGAAUUCAGACAAACUCCGAAUGCCAAUUAAUUUAACUUGGGAGUCAGAACAUGGGUGAUAAGGUCCGUGUUCGAAAGGGAAACAGCCCAGACCACCAGCUAAGGUCCCAAAAUAUAUGUUAAGUGGAAAAGGAUGUGGCGUUGCCCAGACAACUAGGAUGUUGGCUUAGAAGCAGCCAUCAUUUAAAGAGUGCGUAAUAGCUCACUAGUCGAGUGACACUGCGCCGAAAAUGUACCGGGGCUAAACAUAUUACCGAAGCUGUGGAUUGUCCUUUGGACAAUGGUAGGAGAGCGUUCUAAGGGCGUUGAAGCAUGAUCGUAAGGACAUGUGGAGCGCUUAGAAGUGAGAAUGCCGGUGUGAGUAGCGAAAGACGGGUGAGAAUCCCGUCCACCGAUUGACUAAGGUUUCCAGAGGAAGGCUCGUCCGCUCUGGGUUAGUCGGGUCCUAAGCUGAGGCCGACAGGCGUAGGCGAUGGAUAACAGGUUGAUAUUCCUGUACCACCUAUAAUCGUUUUAAUCGAUGGGGGGACGCAGUAGGAUAGGCGAAGCGUGCGAUUGGAUUGCACGUCUAAGCAGUAAGGCUGAGUAUUAGGCAAAUCCGGUACUCAUUAAGGCUGAGCUGUGAUGGGGAGAAGACAUUGUGUCUUCGAGUCGUUGAUUUCACACUGCCGAGAAAAGCCUCUAGAUAGAAAAUAGGUGCCCGUACCGCAAACCGACACAGGUAGUCAAGAUGAGAAUUCUAAGGUGAGCGAGCGAACUCUCGUUAAGGAACUCGGCAAAAUGACCCCGUAACUUCGGGAGAAGGGGUGCUCUUUAGGGUUAACGCCCAGAAGAGCCGCAGUGAAUAGGCCCAAGCGACUGUUUAUCAAAAACACAGGUCUCUGCUAAACCGUAAGGUGAUGUAUAGGGGCUGACGCCUGCCCGGUGCUGGAAGGUUAAGAGGAGUGGUUAGCUUCUGCGAAGCUACGAAUCGAAGCCCCAGUAAACGGCGGCCGUAACUAUAACGGUCCUAAGGUAGCGAAAUUCCUUGUCGGGUAAGUUCCGACCCGCACGAAAGGCGUAACGAUUUGGGCACUGUCUCAACGAGAGACUCGGUGAAAUCAUAGUACCUGUGAAGAUGCAGGUUACCCGCGACAGGACGGAAAGACCCCGUGGAGCUUUACUGUAGCCUGAUAUUGAAAUUCGGCACAGCUUGUACAGGAUAGGUAGGAGCCUUUGAAACGUGAGCGCUAGCUUACGUGGAGGCGCUGGUGGGAUACUACCCUAGCUGUGUUGGCUUUCUAACCCG